rnacentral:misc_RNA from 1 species
GUUUUUCGUCUUGGAUACAACGGCAGUUCAGCUUCAGCGACUGAAGCGGCGACAUGUGGAGCGACAUGAGGAGCGACGUCAGUAGCAACGCAGUUUCCUCAGAGCGACGACGGAGAAAGAGAACGAUGACCAUUGCGUGAUGGAGCCAAAUCAGGACAUCAACGCGUUUUACCAAAGAUCGACUCCUCUUCAUCCUGUCCCUGUGGAGAUGGAUCUGCAACACAUGAGACGUACAACUCCUUUUUUUGCAGAGGACGCAGUUCCUCCAACGUCAUUGACCGGACUCCCCCUGUUCAUCAGGGGGAGUCCACCGUCCCCUGGGACUGCGCGGCCUCCCACCGCCCCCGGGG